rnacentral:rRNA from 1 species
UACGUAGGGUGCGCGCGUUAAUCGGAAUUACUGGGCGUAAAGCGUGCGCAGGCGGUUUUGUAAGUCAGAGGUGAAAUCCCCGGGCUUAACCUGGGAACUGCGUUUGAAACUACAAGGCUAGAGUGUGGCAGAGGGGGGUGGAAUUCCACGUGUAGCAGUGAAAUGCGUAGAGAUGUGGAGGAACACCGAUGGCGAAGGCAGCCCCCUGGGUUAACACUGACGCUCAGGCACGAAAGCGUGGGGAGCAAACAGG